rnacentral:misc_RNA from 1 species
GUGAAUCAUCAAAUCUUUGAACGCAAAUUGCACUCCCUGGUAUUCCGGGGAGUAUGCCUGUUUGAGGGUCGUUAGAAUAAACAAUCGCUGCGUCGCUCUUUUUUUUAAGGGUGAUCGCGUCGGACUUGCGCCGUCAUUCAAAUUUUAAUUUAUGUCAACGUGGCAUGAAAUUCAUCCAUCCGGUACGAUUGAAGCGUAUUUAAGAUAAAUUUUGAUUGAGAACGCGCGA